UUGAAGUAACUGAUGCCAUGCUUCCAAGAAAAGCUUCUAAGCUUCAGUCAGUAAGGGAUCGUACCCGAAACCGACACAGGUGGUCAGGUCGAGAAGACUAAGGCGCUUGAGAGAACUCUGCUGAAGGAACUAGGCAAAAUAGUACCGUAACUUCGGGAGAAGGUACGCUGUUGAUGGUGAAGGAUUUACUCCGUAAGCUAUCGGCAGCCUCAGAAACUAGGCCGCUGCAACUGUUUAUUAAAAACACAGCACUCUGCAGACACGAAAGUGGACGUAUAGGGUGUGAUGCCUGCCCGGUGCUGGAAGGUUAAUUGAUGGGGUUAGCGAAAGCGAAGCUCUUGAUCGAAGCCCCAGUGAACGGCGGCCGUAACUAUAACGGUCCUAAGGUAGCGAAAUUCCUUGUCGGGUAAGUUCCGACCUGCACGAAUGGCAUAAUGAUGGCGGCGCUGUCUCCAGCAGAGACUCAGUGAAAUCGAAAUCGCGGUGAAGAUGCCGUGUACCCGCGGCUAGACGGAAAGACCCCGUGAACCUUUACUGCAGCUUUGCAUUGAACUUUGACCUUACUUGUGUAGGAUAGGUGGGAGGCUUUGAAGCUCGGACGCCAGUUCGAGUGGAGCCAUCCUUGAAAUACCACCCUGGUAAUGUCGAGGUUCUAACCCAGAUCCGUUAUCCGGAUCGGGGACAGUGUAUGGUGGGUAGUUUGACUGGGGCGGUCUCCUCCUAAAGAGUAACGGAGGAGUACGAAGGUGCGCUCAGCGUGGUCGGAAAUCACGCAAUGAGUAUAAAGGCAAAAGCGCGCUUAACUGCGAGACCGACAAGUCGAGCAGGUACGAAAGUAGGUCUUAGUGAUCCGGUGGUUCUGUAUGGAAGGGCCAUCGCUCAACGGAUAAAAGGUACUCUGGGGAUAACAGGCUGAUACCGCCCAAGAGCUCAUAUCGACGGCGGUGUUUGGCACCUCGAUGUCGGCUCAUCUCAUCCUGGGGCUGAAGCAGGUCCCAAGGGUAUGGCUGUUCGCCAUUUAAAGAGGUACGCGAGCUGGGUUUAGAACGUCGUGAGACAGUUCGGUCCCUAUCUACCGUGGGCGUUGGAGACUUGAGAGGAUCUGCUUCUAGUACGAGAGGACCGAAGUGGACGUACCUCUGGUGUUCGGGUUGUCACGCCAGUGGCACUGCCCGGUAGCUAUGUACGGACGGGAUAACCGCUGAAAGCAUCUAAGCGGGAAGCCUACCUUAAGAUAAGGUCUCCCUGGGAGUUUAACCCCCCUAAAGAGCCGUUAGAGACCAUGACGUUGAUAGGUUCGGU
rnacentral:rRNA from 1 species